GAUGAACGCUGGCGGCGUGCCUAAUACAUGCAAGUCGAGCGAAUGGAUUAAGAGCUUGCUCUUAUGAAGUUAGCGGCGGACGGGUGAGUAACACGUGGGUAACCUGCCCAUAAGACUGGGAUAACUCCGGGAAACCGGGGCUAAUACCGGAUAACAUUUUGGACCGCAUGGUUCGAAAUUGAAAGGCGGCUUCGGCUGUCACUUAUGGAUGGACCCGCGUCGCAUUAGCUAGUUGGUGAGGUAACGGCUCACCAAGGCAACGAUGCGUAGCCGACCUGAGAAGGUGAUCGGCCACGCUGGGACUGGGAAACGGCCCAGAAUCCUACGGGAGGCAGCAGUAGGGAAUCUUCCGCAAUGGAAGAAAGUCUGACGGAGCAACGCCGCGUGAGUGAUGAAGGCUUUCGGGUCGUAAAACUCUGUUGUUAGGGAAGAACAAGUGCUAGUUGAAUAAGCUGGCACCUUGACGGUACCUAACCAGAAAGCCACGGCUAACUACGUGCCAGCCGCCGCGGUAA
rnacentral:rRNA from 1 species